rnacentral:tRNA from 1 species
GCCUGGCUGGCUCAGUCAGUAGAGCGUGUGACUCUUGACCUCAGGGUUGUGGGUUCGAGCCCCACGUGGGGUG